rnacentral:rRNA from 1 species
AGCGAACGCUGGCGGCAGGCUUAACACAUGCAAGUCGAACGGGCGUAGCAAUACGUCAGUGGCAGACGGGUGAGUAACGCGUGGGAACGUACCUUUUGGUUCGGAACAACCCAGGGAAACUUGGGCUAAUACCGGAUAAGCCCUUACGGGGAAAGGAUUUAUCGCCGAAAGAUCGGCCCGCGUCUGAUUAGCUAGUUGGUGUGGUAACGGCGCACCAAGGCGACGAUCAGUAGCUGGUCUGAGAGGAUGAUCAGCCACAUUGGGACUGAGACACGGCCCAAACUCCUACGGGAGGCAGCAGUGGGGAAUAUUGGACAAUGGGCGCAAGCCUGAUCCAGCCAUGCCGCGUGAGUGAUGAAGGCCCUAGGGUUGUAAAGCUCUUUUCGGGC